AAACUUGAGAGUUUGAUCCUGGCUCAGAACGAACGCUGGCGGCAUGCCUAACACAUGCAAGUCGAACGAAGC
rnacentral:rRNA from 1 species